AGAAUCAACGCUGGCGGCGUGCCUAACACAUGAAAGUCGAACGAGAAAGUGGAGCAAUCCAUGAGUAAAGUGGCGCACGGGUGAGUAACACGUGACUAACCUACCCUUGAGUGGGGGAUAACCUAGGGAAACCUGGGCUAAUACCGCAUAAUACCUUCGGGUCAAAGGAGCAAUUCGCUUAAGGAGGGGGUCGCGGCCGAUUAGUUAGUUGGCGGGGUAAUGGCCCACCAAGACUGUGAUCGGUAU
rnacentral:rRNA from 1 species